AUCACAGUGUACAUAUGUACAGCUGCCGAUUUCCAAAAUUAUUCUCGAUCCACCUCAGGCUCCGACACAUCUGACUCAGAAGUGAUCAUUACAAGCAGAAGUGCUGCAGAAUUCAAUUCAGCUGAUACACUGCUUUGGGAUCCUGCCUUGAACAGUACCAGCAAUGACGGAGAAUCGCACAUUGGCUCUGAUACGAUUUUACUUUCUGACUCAGAAGAGGGCCCAGGAACAUCAACAUCUGCACUGGAAACUCCAUGCUAUAGGAAAUACACACAACUCUAUGCACCUCUUGUAGAAGAGGAACAGGAGGACUCUGGCAGUGAUAAGGAGAGUAGUA